CGGCUGUCCCGGGCAGUGAGGUCACUUCCACCCCGAUGUAAGGCUCCUCCUGAUGGGACGGCACACGGCUGUUUCCCCCCUCCCUCCCUUCCUCUUUUCCUUCCUUCCCUUCUUCUUUUCAUUCCUUCCCUUCUGUCUUUUCCUUCCUUCUUUCCUUGCUUCCUCCCUUCCUUCUCUUUCUUCCUUCCUUCUCUUCCUUCCUUCUCUUCCUUCCUUCUUUCUCUUCCUUCCUUCCUUCCCUCCUUCCUUCCUUCCCUCCUUCCUUCCUUCUUUUCCUUCCUUUCUUCCUUUCUUCCUUCCUUCCUUCCUUCCUUCCUUCCUUCCUUCCCUUCCUCCUCCCCUCCCUCCUCCCCCCCUGGUGACAUUGAAUCCAUCCCUGGAGCCGUGCAGAGCCUCCUGGGCAACGCACAGAUGCCGUGGUGGGAUAGGGAGCAGGGACUACAGCCUUGACAUAAGUCGCCACCGUUUGCCGGCUUCUGAAUGUACCCCGUGUUCCAACACCGCCAUCCAGCAAAAAUGGGACUUUUUGACCAGCUGAGAUCCAGAUGGAAUUUCACAAAGAAGAGACACUGAAGGAGACAAAGGAAAGAUGUUGUGCCUAUACUUAGCUAAAAUAAGAACAGCAAGUAGAUUUUCAAGAGUUGCUCCUCCUGAUGCCCUGUCAUACACAAGCAGUGAAGGAUCGAGAAUACACCUGAUCCAGCCACUCUAUAUUUUUCUCAGCAUUUGCUCAAAUAUUAGCAUUUGUCUGUCCUCCCCCUCCUUUCAGCCCCCUUCCCUUCCCCUCCCCUUCAGACUCUACAAAUGAACAACUCAUUGUCCUCUGCCUGGGCUGUGCCAGCGGAGGGCCCUCUAGUACAGCUUUUGCCAGAUCAGAUCUUGUCUGGGCUUCCAGUUUAGGAUGGGAUUCUGAAAACAAAACAAAAAUAGUGUUUGAAAUCAGUUGAGUAACACUGUUUCCCCCAUACACUGCUACUAGAUUUCUCAGCAUUUUCUGCAUUUUCUCUUUCUGCACACUUUAGAAAUGACCUUUGCUGAUUAAGGCCCGGAUUACAUGUAAUGCUCUGGUUGAUCUGCUGAAGUUUAGGUUGUCUUGUAGCUCUUUGCACAUAACCACCUGUCCAUGUAUCUUAGCUGUUGACUAAUGCUGGCUUCACUCCUACCACCAGUGGGAUGAUUUACUUUCCCUCUGGCUUAUUGUGUAGUAGAAAGAGAAAGGAAAAAGGGAAAGACUCUCUGGUUUAGUCUAGAUAUCAGAGUCCCACAGUAAACAUCUUAGUUGUGCAUUAAAGUCACCAUAUUUCAGUGACACCAUUAAAGAAUAAAUGAAGUAAAUGCAUUGUAAAUACA
rnacentral:lncRNA from 1 species